UAGACUGAGACACGGCAAAUGUUCUGUUGUUGCCUGAGACAACGAACAGAACAGUCUAUUUUCUCUCCCACCACAGGAGGAUAGAAGGAAUCAAUGGCUCGUUUUUAUUCAUGACAACCAGGUUCCUGCAGUAGCUAAUGCUAACGCGUUAGUCUGUGCUAACCAUUUUGCCCUUGACUGCUUCACCAACACGGGUCAGUUCAACGCUGGAUAUGCCUCGAAACUGAUUCUUAGGGUUGGAGCCAGACCCACUAUACGUGGCCAAGCUACAGUAAAUGUGCCAUCGGCCAGUACAUGGGUGCUAAGGGUUCAGCAUGUUGGCUGCCAGGUGGAACGUCUAACAGCAGCAUCGGUUGGUACACAGCUGUCCUUGAACACACUCAAGCCUCAUUUCAGAAGUAAAGGUACCCAGACGACAACACUUUCCACCAUUGAUUUUGGAGUUGGCACGUCCACCGUCCCAUUCCUCUCGAUAGAACCAAGUAUGACUUCAACACCAAUCAAGGUGAGGUAAUGGAGGACGGAGAGGAUGAGGAAGAUCCUGGGGAGGACACCUCAUCUAUGGUGGCUCCAGGAUCACAAGACUCACCAUAUAACCCAGAGGACACCUCUGCUCUGUUGUAUUUCAUACAAGAAUCAUGUAUUUAUUACUUUUGUUAUAUAAUAAAGUACAUUUAUUUUGUAGAAACAGUGUUGUGAGUACUGGUCUACACAUUUAGUUUACAGUGAUACAUAAUUGAAAAAUAUGUAAAACUGUGGUAAAGCACUGUGUUAUUGAAGGGUAG